CUCCAACAAGACUCUAUUUGACUAAUCUUCAUUUGCAAUUUAUCGGAAAUGAUUUUUUGUUGCUUUUAAUGCAAAUUGAACAACACCUCUUCUGAAGAUACCCAGUUUUCCGAAAAAAAAAUACUCAAUAAAAGUUACAUUAAAACUUAUGGAAAAAAUUUUUUAGCAAGUUUAGAACACUUAAAACUUGCUCUUGGACCUCAUUUUAACGUCUACAAUUACAAAGUUCGGAUACGGUGAUAUCAACCUAACAUUUUUUUUUAUUUUGGCUUUAUUUAAAUAAUUCCGAGUUCGUUCAGUAGUUAUUAGAAAGUUUAUCUUUUUUUCCCACGUUACGAAUAAGGGCACCGUUCUUCGUGUUGGUGAGGCCUUUCAGAUUUUAAGAACCAAACUAUCAAUCGCAAUUCUUUUAAGGUAGAAAAACCAUUAACUUGCAUACUUAUGAAUAUUGAAAGGACUCAUAUAAAAUUGGCUGUAAAAUCAGAACAUCCAUCAGUGGGUGAACUUUCCGCUCGUGAAACUAUCCCCCAACUGCAAGUACAACUUUCUCAUUCAGCCAAG